AUUGAACGCUGGCGGCACGCCUUACACAUGCAAGUCGAACGGUAACAGGUCUUCGGAUGCUGACGAGUGGCGAACGGGUGAGUAAUACAUCGGAACGUGCCUAGUAGUGGGGGAUAACUACUCGAAAGAGUGGCUAAUACCGCAUGAGAUCUACGGAUGAAAGCAGGGGAUCGCAAGACCUUGUGCUACUAGAGCGGCCGAUGGCAGAUUAGGUAGUUGGUGGGAUAAAAGCUUACCAAGCCGACGAUCUGUAGAUGGUCUGAGAGGACGAUCAGCCACACUGGGACUGAGACACGGCCAAGACUCCUACGUGAGGCAGCAGUGGGGAAUUUUGGACAAUGGGCGAAAGCCUGAUCCAGCAAUGCCGCGUGCAGGAUGAAGGCCUUCGGGUUGUAAACUGCUUUUGUACGGAACGAAAAGCCCCGGGUUAAUACCCUGGGGUCAUGACGGUACCGUAAGAAUAAGCACCGGCUAACUACGUGCCAGCCGCCGCCGUAA
rnacentral:rRNA from 1 species